rnacentral:lncRNA from 1 species
AGAGAAGGCGGGCUUUUCCGGGUGCCUUGGUGUAGUAUUCGCGCAGUAGCUAAGCCUUCUUAAAUGGUCCUGGCUGCUGUGCUCUGUGUCCUGUGUUUGGAUUCUGUGAGGCAUGUUUAGGCAAGCUCCGAAGUUGCGACAUGGAUGCAUUGACCUAUGAUGAUGUACAUGUGAACUUCACUCGAGAAGAAUGGGCUUUGCUGGAUCCUUCACAGAAGAGUCUCUACAAAGAUGUGAUGCAGGAGACCUACAGGAAUCUCACUGCUAUAGGUUACAAUUGGGAAGACCAUACUAUUGAAGAACAUUGUCAAAAUUUCAGAAGACAUGGAAGGUAAUUUUCAUGUGCAAGUUGGUAUGAACAUGCCUCAUGCCUCUGAAGAAAUGUUAGUACGUCCUAGAACUUUUAAAGAAAAGCAACAGUGGUAAAAAAAAAAAAAAAAAGCACUUCUUUAAGUGUAUUGAUUAUUAAAUUCUCACAAAUCCAUGUACCUCAAUGUCAGGUGUCUGAUUUGUGUUUUGCAAGGCCUUCCUCUAAGAAAGAAGACAAAGAAACAAUGUCUUAGCCUUACCAUUUGAAUCAUAGCCACAUUACAGCUACUCUGUAAACCUGCCAAUCUGUCUAGUCUCAUAACACACACACACACACACACACGUACACAUACACACACAGAGUAGGUGAUAAGUUCAUGUUUCUAAUAGGCAAAUAUAUCAUCAUAGUAAAACUGAUUACUCAUAUACUAACAUUGUUAAGUUUAAGUGAGAGGGACAGUUCAUGAGAGUCAAGAAUGUUGUUGUAGAGAAACCUUUAUUCUUAUGCCAUAUGACUAUGAUGAACAAAAAGUCAAACUGUGUGAAUGCAAUGUGGAAACAUUUCAUUUGUAAUUUUAACAGGUAUAUCCUGUGUCACAAUGCAUACAAGCCAUGUGAGCACAAGGAUAUUGAAAGAAGCAAUGUCCCCCCACAGAACAAUUAGGAUAUAUGUAGCAGUCCACAUUUGAGCAGACUUUCUCAGUGUGAUACAAGUUUAUAAUUAGUUGGUUUCCCAACUUCGUUGGGAAUAUAUCCAUAAAGUCACCUAGCAGAAAAUCCCUAUGAAUACUAGGAUUGUGGAAAUCCCUUUCUGUUUGCCCAGAUUCACUUGGCCAUUGUGUUAUGCUAAUGUAAUGUAUUUGACAAUAAAGGAAAACAU